GACGAACGCUGGCGGCGUGCUUAACACAUGCAAGUCGAACGGAAAGGCCCUGCUUGCAGGGUACUCGAGUGGCGAACGGGUGAGUAACACGUGGGUGAUCUGCCCUGCACUUCGGGAUAAGCCUGGGAAACUGGGUCUAAUACCGGAUAGGAGCCAUUUUUAGUGUGAUGGUUGGAAAGUUUUUUCGGUGUAGGAUGAGCUCGCGGCCUAUCAGCUUGUUGGUGGGGUAAUGGCCUACCAAGGCGGCGACGGGUAGCCGGCCUGAGAGGGUGGACGGCCACAUUGGGACUGAGAUACGGCCCAGACUCCGACGGGAGGCAGCAGGGGGGAAGAUUGCACAAUGGGCGCAAGGCUGAUGCAGCGACGCCGCGUGGGGGAUGACGGCCUUCGGGUUGUAAACUCCUUUCGCUAGGGACGAAGCUUUUUGUGACGGUACCUAGAUAAGAAGCACCGGCUAACUACGUG
rnacentral:rRNA from 1 species